rnacentral:lncRNA from 1 species
UUCCAACCCGGAUUGUACGUGUUGGAAUAAGGAUUAUUCUGCUUCACGAUUUCCUUCACUUGUUUAGGAGGUGCAAAACAAUAAACAGUUUGGUGCAGACCACUACAAAUUUCACAGUAGACAGUAGGAAUCGGUUAGACCUGCGCCACCUGUUGGGUACCUAUAUUCAUCGUCUUCAGCUUCUUAUCAACUUCAACAGCUAUAGUAUCUUCAAUACGGAUUUUAUUAGUUUCCAGCUUUAAAU